ACCUGCUUCUCCCUUUGGGCUGAGGUUUGGGGCCAUCAGAACAGUUGCAUUCAUGGCAGCAGCAGGAUGACCCGGGAGGACAGGAAGUACUGCUCCCUCAAGAGCCACCUGAUUUCUCUCCUCCUGGGGACCAGAGGGUCUUGCUCAGAACCUUCCACUCUCCACAUGACGAAAAAUAUAACCUUUCAGUGUCUCUUGGAGAAAAGCACAGCUGCACCACAGCAGGAAGAGAAGCAGAGGAAAGGAAAACAAUUGUCACCUGUUGAAAUGCAUUUCCAGAUCCAGGAUGGACCCUCUACACUCUGGGGUGGUGAGUAAGCAAACUAAAACUUAGAUACUCUCCUGUCCCUGUAAAUGCUG
rnacentral:lncRNA from 1 species